rnacentral:rRNA from 1 species
GUAACAAGGUCUCCGUUGGUGAACCAGCGGAGGGAUCAUUACAAGAGAGUUGAGAAACUCCCAAACCCACUGUGAACCUACCUGUAUUUUCUGCUUCGGCGGGCAGCCCCAGGGCGGGGCCGCGCGCCCGGGGUUGUACCCGGGUGCCCGCCGAAAGCAACAAAAACUCUGUUUUUUCAGUGUCUUCUGAGCUAUAAAACAAACAAGUUAAAACUUUCAACAACGGAUCUCUUGGUUCUGGCAUCGAUGAAGAACGCAGCGAACUGCGAUAAGUAAUGCGAAUUGCAGAAUUCUACGAGUUAUCGAAUCUUUGAACGCACAUUGCACCUGCCAGUAUUCUGGCAGGUAUGCCUGUUCGAGCGUCAUUUCAACCCCCCAAGCCCUGGCUGCUUGGUGUUGGGGCUUAAUCUGCAGCGCCUUUACGGCGGCUGCAGGCCCCUAAUUACAGUGGCGGACCCACCGAGGCCCCGAGCGCAGUAGUGUAUCUCCUCGCUCCAGGGCGCCGCGGCGGGCUCUCCUGCCGUAAAACCCCCACUAUUUUUCAAGGUUGACCUCGGAUCAGGUAGGACUACCCGCUGAACUUAAGCAUAUCAAUAAGCGGAGGAAA